GAUGAACGCUAGCGGCAGGCCUAAUACAUGCAAGUCGAACGGUAAGUGUUAUAGCAAUAUGACACCAAGAGUGACGCGCGGGUGCGUAACACGUAUGCAACCUACCCUUUACAGGCGGAUAGCUCGGGGAAACUCGAAUUAACCCGCCAUAAUAUAAUUGGAUGGCAUCAUUUGAUUAUUAAACUGAGGUGGUAAAGGAU
rnacentral:rRNA from 1 species